GAAAUAGACUCUCAAAUCUGUUUCCAGGUCUAGACCAGCCAGUGUCAAAGGGAGCCUCAAGGAGAAAGGUUCUCCUCCUUCCCAAGAACUGCAGGCUGGGGCAGAAAGAAGAAAUGGCCUUCCAGACGAGAGUCCAGAGACAAUAGUAAAUAAAUAAAAUAGAAAAAUGCCGGAGGCGACAACGGUGUCAGUGGCGGCGGCGGCGGCGGCAAGGGCAGGAGCAUCCGUAUUGUUGGUCAAGGUGGGACUACGUGGCCUGUCCUUCCUGGCCACAGGGUCUGCAAUGUGGCCCGCUGCGAUUCUGCUCACCAUGUUUGCCACAGGAUAUGUGCUCUACAAGACUGAGGUGAUCAAGGAUAAGAAGUAUUGACAGGAAUCCUUUCCAGUCCCCUAGCCAGACACAGAGGCCCACCUUGCUGGGGGAUUUUAUUAAGUGACUUGUUAUACAUGGCUUAUAUUUUGAGUAUGAAUAAAGUAAACUUUUGGGCAAAAUAAAAAUUAAUUGA